rnacentral:misc_RNA from 1 species
GAUGAAGAACGCAGCGAAAUGCGAUAAGUAAUGUGAAUUGCAGAAUUCAGUGAAUCAUCGAAUCUUUGAACGCUCAUUGCGCCCCCUGGUAUUCCGGGGGGCAUGCCUGUUCGAGCGUCAUUUCAACCCUCAAGCUCUGCUUGGUAUUGAGUCCAUGUCAGCAAUGGCAGGCUCCAAAAUCAGUGGCGGCGCCGCUGGGUCCUGAACGUAGUAAUAUCUCUCGUUACAGGUGCUCGGCGUGCUUCUGCCAAAACCCCAAUUUUUCUAUGGUUGACCUCGGAUCAGGUAGGGAUACCCGCUGAACUUAAGCAUAUCAAUAAGCGGAGGA